UACGUAGGGUGCGAGCGUUAAUCGGAAUUACUGGGCGUAAAGCGUGCGCAGGCGGUUCGGUGUGUCCGGCGUGAAAGCCCCGGGCUUAACCUGGGAACUGCGAUGGAAACUAGCGAGCUGGAGUGUGGCAGAGGGGGGUGGAAUUCCGCGUGUAGCAGUGAAAUGCGUAGAGAUGCGGAGGAACACCGAUGGCGAAGGCAGCCCCCUGGGCUAACACUGACGCUCAGGCACGAAAGCGUGGGGAGCAAACAGG
rnacentral:rRNA from 1 species